rnacentral:rRNA from 1 species
UACGGGGGGGGCAAGCGUUGUUCGGAAUUACUGGGCGUAAAGGGUUUGUAGGUGGCCUGCUAAGUCAGACGUGAAAUCCCUCAGCUUAACUGGAGAACUGCGUCUGAGACUGGUAGGCUCGAGGACAGGAGAGGAACGCGGAAUUCCAGGUGUAGCGGUGAAAUGCGUAGAUAUCUGGAGGAACACCGGUGGCGAAGGCGGCGUUCUGGACUGUUUCUGACACUGAAAAACGAAAGCCAGGGGAGCAAACGGG